rnacentral:rRNA from 1 species
AGCGCAGACGGUUAUUUAAGCAAGAUGUGAAAGCCCCGGGCUCAACCUGGGAACUGCGUUUUGAACUGGGUAACUAGAGUGUGUCAGAGGGGGGUAGAAUUCCACGUGUAGCAGUGAAAUGCGUAGAGAUGUGGAGGAAUACCGAUGGCGAAGGCAGCCCCCUGGGAUAACACUGACGUUCAUGCUCGAAAGCGUGGGUAGCAAACAGGAUUAGAUACCCUGGUAGUCCACGCCCUAAACGAUGUCAAUUAGCUGUUGGGGUACUUGAUGCCUUAGUAGCGUAGCUAACGCGUGAAAUUGACCGCCUGGGGAGUACGGUCGCAAGAUUAAAACUCAAAGGAAUUGACGGGGACCCGCACAAGCGGUGGAUGAUGUGGAUUAAUUCGAUGCAACGCGAAGAACCUUACCUGGUCUUGACAUGUACGGAAUCCUCCAGAGACGGAGGAGUGCCUUCGGGAGCC